rnacentral:rRNA from 1 species
UACGUAGGGUGCAAGCGUUGUCCGGAAUUAUUGGGCGUAAAGAGCUCGUAGGCGGUCCGUCACGUCCGCUGUGAAAACCCAGGGCUCAACCCUGGGCUUGCAGUGGAUACGGGCAGACUAGAGGUAGGUAGGGGAGAAUGGAAUUCCCGGUGUAGCGGUGAAAUGCGCAGAUAUCGGGAGGAACACCGGUGGCGAAGGCGGUUCUCUGGACCUUACCUGACGCUGAGGAGCGAAAGCGUGGGGAGCGAACAGG